UACGUAGGGUGCGAGCGUUAAUCGGAAUUACUGGGCGUAAAGCGUGCGCAGGCGGCUUGCCAAGUCAGAUGUGAAAGCCCCGGGCUUAACCCGGGAACGGCGUUUGAAACUGGCAGGCUAGAGUUUGGCAGAGGGGGGUGGAAUUCCACGUGUAGCAGUGAAAUGCGUAGAGAUGUGGAGGAACACCGAUGGCGAAGGCAGCCCCCUGGGCCAAAACUGACGCUCAGGCACGAAAGCGUGGGGAGCAAACAGG
rnacentral:rRNA from 1 species